UACGUAGGGUGCAAGCGUUUAAUCGGAAUUACUGGGCGUAAAGCGUGCGCAGGCGGUGAUGUAAGACAGGUGUGAAAUCCCCGGGCUUAACCUGGGAACUGCAUUUGUGACUGCAUCGCUGGAGUGCGGCAGAGGGGGAUGGAAUUCCGCGUGUAGCAGUGAAAUGCGCAGAUAUCAGGAAGAACACCCGUGGCUAAGGCGGCUCUCUAGUAACGGGUACUGACGCUGAGACGCGAAAGCGUGGGGAGCGAACAGG
rnacentral:rRNA from 1 species